rnacentral:lncRNA from 1 species
GUUUUCUGAAUCUUCUUUCUCUGGAAAAUCAUAUGUAAUUGCUUUGUGAAGUCUUACUUUGUUUUCUCUCAGAGACUGGUGAACUAGAGAAUGCUGAGUCUGGAGGAGACGGAGGCAGGAGAGGAGGGAAGCAGGAUAACGUUGCCUGGUGGAGGCGGAUGCAGAAGGGGGGACUUCCCCUGGGAUGACGAGGAUUUCCGCAGUCUGGCCCUUUUGGGGGCAGGCGUUGCCAUGGGAUUUUUCUACCUCUAUUUUCGAGAUCCUGGAAGAGAAAUCACGUGGAAGCACUUUGUACAGUAUUACCUGGCCAGAGGUCUGGUGGACCGGCUGGAAGUCGUGAACAAACAAUCUGUGCGUGUUAUUCCUGCCCCUGGGACCUCUUCUGAAG